UGAGGAGGGAGGAGACGGCGAAGGUUUUAAAAAGGAUUUCUCCUUCGAGCCGGACAGGCAGUAACUAGGGUGGGGACCAGUCGUUAGGCCUGCCCCCCCCGCCCCGUUUGCCCCCUGCCCGUCCGUCUCCUACUUUGUUCGCCCGCUCUGGGAGCUCGGAGUCUCGGCCCGGUCCGAGCUUCUUCUAUGGUCCUCGACCCAGCACCCCUGAGCCUUGGCCGGCUGGGGUUCCUGGGGAUGGGAUUUGAUUACUGCCACAAAUCACAUUGCCAGGGAUUUCCAACUGACCACUGGCCCUGCUGCUGAAGCUGCCAGGUCCACUACUAGUAUGCACAUGUGGGUGCCUAUCUGUGGGGCAAUGGAGCCCAAAAGAGUGGGCCCCCCAGCCCAGCCUGGCCUGAGGAGCAGGACUUAGCUGCCUUGUGAACAGAGUCAGCAUCAUAUUGUGUUCACAGUGGCUAAGUUCCGCCCCCCUUGCCCCCCUACCCUUGGCCACCUUGUUCUUCAUCCAGUCUGUCUGCUUCUAGGUCUCACUGGGCUCUGCCUCCUGUGCCUACUGAGCUGAAACACAGUUGCUUUGGAUAAACUGGCUCAGUUCAGCAGGAACAGGAGUCUGGCCUUCUCCUGGAGACACCUGCCCUAUGACCCUGAGAGUGUGGGAGGCUGGAAAGGCCCUCAGGUCCAGUGUGGGAUGACGGCGCUGCCUCCAACUACUGCAGCAGUGCUGACUGUCUAGCUUUACGUCUCUAGCGUCCAAAGAGAUCUGAGAAUUGCCUUGGCAGCUUCACGGCUUUGCAGUAAAAGAUGAGAGAUCGGAAGACGACCUGGCUGAAGCCGAGACGCAGAGACCCACUGAGCCUAAUGUAUAUUCUGUGCACGGUUUCAGCAAGUUCAAAUUAUAUCUUCUUAAUUCUUAUUUUCUCCAGCUGUCCCAAUUUAGAUGAGAGACACUUAUCCUAACCUGUCCCCUAAGCCACAAGGAACAGCAAAGGACCACCUCUCGUCUUAGUUUCUUCCUUUCUAUCCCAAACUGUAGGCCUAAUACCCACCUUUUUUCUCUACUAAGGGGUGAUACUCAAGAGACAAUAACUACAGAGCCCUGCCCCGAGACCAUUAAGUGCCAAUUUUGGGCUUCUAGAGUGAAGCUGUCAUAACCCAAAUGGCCCUCCAGUUUCACGGACUGUAUGGAGUCCCCCCAGAGCAGAAGACCUUUAUGAGGUUGGAGCUCAGGGGCCUCCACUUGGCCCUGGGCUUCUCUCCUGGACUCUACCCCGCAAGGCACCCCACCAACUUUGCCCUCUAGAGGCAGAGGGGAAGGGGAAAGAACUUUUUCUUGAUAUAGGCUGUGCUUUUGGGGGUAAAGGAACACUGGUUCAUUCAAGUUCCUCUCAAACCCCAUGGAGGUUAGGAUUUAUUGUUAUAAACUCACUGCUGCAUUAUUCUUGCCACUUCCAAUUGCGGACACACUUCUGAUUCUCCCCUACUUCCAUCCCUGAAGUGUCCGUCUUCUUAGUAUCUGAAGUAACUCCCACUGUUUUAAGUGUUCAUAUGAGACAAAGGUAGCAGCGCUUCUUCUUCAGCAAGUGGUCCCUGUUCUAAGAGAUGGGCUUCUAUACAAAUCAGGAUUUAGCUCAUAACCAGGGGACUGGUAUUCUGGGAGGCCCGCUGCGAGGCUGGAGGAGGGACUGAAAAUUUAGAUAGGAAAGUGAGGAAUGAAUGAAACUUGAAUGACUUUGGGGCACCCAGGCAAGAGAGGAAUGCUGUAUCUCUAAACCCGAGGUCCCAUUAAAGUUUGCUCAAGCUCAGGCCUGACAUCUCAGGAA